UCAAACAAGAAGAUGAAGAUAACCCAUAGGCGAACGGCAUCAAUUUAUUGCACUUCAUCCUUAUCUAACAUUUGUUUGCCUGCCAGGAGGAUGAACAAUGCAAGAUGAAAACUCCGGCCUGCUGUGUCCACUUCAAACAAGAUGUCUUCAGCUUCAGUAGCAAAAUGGGUUCAGUCAAGCCAUUGGCCUAGUUGAAUCUUAUCCUCCAGGACAGCACGUCAUUGUGUACGUUUUCCAAACACAGUAAAGAUUACAUUCAAACAAGUCUGGAAAGCCAUCAGGGAAGUACUCCAUCCCCCCCUUGCUACCCCCUCUUAAAUGAUUAGUGGCCAUAAUUUGGAAUGCUAGAGAGAUUUCUACUAAAGGAUCCCUCAGUGACAAAUGCUUCAUUAAGAAGUAUUACCCUCUAAUUAUAGGCUGGUAUCCUUGAACCUUUUAAAGAUAUUUCUGACUUGCAGUACAAAAAAGAAUCCCAUAUGUUACAUGAUCUCUUCUUCAUAUAGAUAGAUAUAGGAUCUAUGGGGCUAUAGGAUAGAUCUAUAUAUGUUUUGUGGAUUAUUAUACAGAAAAAGUUUGGAGGACUGCCAGACAACAUGCAGAAGAGGUCGGCUAUCCUGCAGUGUGUCAAUGCUUGUGGAUUAUUUCAUAUUCGUUUCUAUGGUAAUUCUAUGAUCAGGUUGAAUAGCGGGUAUGGUUCUUAUGCCAUUUGGAAAAGGCUUGACGGAAUGCUUGUUAACCAUGCUUGUGCAAUUUUUCAUAUUGAUGUUCAUAAUUAGGCUACAAAGUACUACUUCUGGCCAUUCUUUGAUGCACAUAACUUGUGCUAGAUCAACUGGGAGUUCUGCUAAUCCAUUUCAGUUACGUUUAUAAUUGCUUGGAAUGACUACAAAGGCUUUCUGGAUUCGGUCGAGAAGGUAUGAAGCAAAAAGGUUCAAGGAAAUAAAAUGUUUUGUCUUCUUAUACAAACAGAAAAUUUUGUGGAAUGUAUUGAGUGAAUGGAAUAGAACAGUUAUGGGGAAACAGGAGGAGCUGGAAAUUGGAAUGUAGGGUCCAAGCACUUGAGAUCAAGUUAGAGGAAGAUCCAAAAAGGAAGUCAUGCUGAACUAAGGUAAAUGCCCUUUACCAAAGGCAACCCCAGAUUGAAGAGGAUUAUUCGAGGCAAAUGGUACAGCCUAAAUAGAAACACAAAGUUCUUCCAUUCCAUUGUGAAGGACAAAAGAAUGCGAAUGUGUAUUCAUAAAAUAAUCAAGUUUUCGGGGGAUGAAGAUGUUACUUUGAAGCAUAUCAUUGAGUUUCUUGGUCAUUUCUUACUAAUGUUCUAAGGAGAAUGGAUUUUAAAGAAGCUUGGAUUUAUCAAGAUUUUGGAAUAUAGAGCUGUUGGUAUUCAGUCAUCAUUAGUGGUUUCAGAGAAGGUUUGUUUCCAUGCUUCAAGGGGUUUAUGGCAAGGGAAUAUGUAUCCCCUUAAUUGUCUCUUUUAUUCUCUCAGAAGAAGAAUUCCUGUCAAGACAAAUGAAGAGAAUAGAAGUACAUGCUUUACACAUCCCAAAGGCAGGUAUACAAGUUUUUUUCUUGAUGUACCCACAGACUGAAAGAAGACUCAUUAUGAGAAUUACCAAUAACUAUCAAAAAACAUUUCCUUUUUAAUAUCUUGGAUAUCCUGGUCCAUAUACAGAGAUAGAAACAACAUCUCUUUUUCUCUGUCAUCACCAUUCAUCUAGAUGACUAUGGCUAAAUGCCACGGGUGGCAUGGCAAGUUAUUAUCCGUAACUAUUGAACAGAAGAUAAAAAUAUCAGUAAAAACCUUAGCUCUUGGUUGGACUGACUUCUGGUGCUUGAUGAUCAAAAUACAUAUGGGAGUGACUUAUUUAAAGCGCAAACGAGGCUAAGACAAGCUAUAAGUUACUGAGAAAAUUAUGGAAGGCAAAACCAUGUGCACUGGAGUUGUAUGGGGCCGAUUAGUUUCAAUCAGAAAUAUAUGGAGACAUAAGAAUGAGGAAUCACUUGUGUAUGUUUCUCAUUCAUAGGAUUGAUUCAAACAAAAAAGGCUGAGAUAUUGUGCAGGUGAAUGUGACCUCUCAUUUGGAAGGCUAGUUAAGCCAUCUUAUCUAUUCAAUAUCAUUGUAGCUUGUGGGGACUGUGUUAUUAGAAAAGCCUUUAUCUACAGACUUUUUUAAAGAAAUUCUUGAUGAUUUCUCAAAGACAAAACCAUGUGAUAAUGUUGUCUUAUCGCUAGCUGGCUACCCUCCCUUAGCCACUCAAUCCACUUCACAAAGGAUCUAUAUAAACACAAUUGAGUUAGUAUUCACCCCACUCAAAUAUUUCCUUCACAGCUACCUUAGUUUCUGCAUUCUAAAAUUGUUUCUAUAGCAUCUUUGAUUAACACUCCCUCUGCUUUAAGAAGAAACAUCCCAGAAUGGCAAUCAGUAUGACUCGCAUCCUCCGUGCUAAGCAGGGCCUCAGAAGGUCUUCUUCAAGAACAAACAGAGAAAGUGAGGUUCCUAAGGGGCACUUUGCAGUUUAUGUGGGCGAAAGAGAAAAGAAGCGCUUUGUUAUUCCGAUAUCAUGCUUGAAGUGCCCUUCAUUUCAAGGCUUGCUAAGUCAAGCUGAGGAAGAAUUCGGAUUUGAUCAUCUAAUGGGUGGAAUCACUGUACUUUUCUAAUGGGUGGAAUCACUGUACUUUUCUCGACAUCAUUUCUUGUUCAAGUAGAUAUUGAGUGACUACUAACAGAGUAACAGAUUAGUUUAAUAGAGAAAAAUUUUGGACAAAUGAGCAUUCUUGUACAGUUACUUUUUUCCUUUUUCAGUACAGUUGUGUUCGGGAUCAGAUUGGAAAAAUAUAAAUCUUGAGAAAAUACAAACAGAUUAUGUUUUACACAA